rnacentral:rRNA from 1 species
CCUACGGGAGGCAGCAGUAGGGAAUCUUCCACAAUGGACGCAAGUCUGAUGGAGCAACGCCGCGUGAGUGAAGAAGGCUUUCGGGUCGUAAAACUCUGUUGUUGGAGAAGAAUGGUCGGCAGAGUAACUGUUGUCGGCGUGACGGUAUCCAACCAGAAAGCCACGGCUAACUACGUGCCAGCAGCCGCGGUAAUACGUAGGUGGCAAGCGUUAUCCGGAUUUAUUGGGCGUAAAGCGAGCGCAGGCGGUUUUUUAAGUCUGAUGUGAAAGCCCUCGGCUUAACCGAGGAAGUGCAUCGGAAACUGGGAAACUUGAGUGCAGAAGAGGACAGUGGAACUCCAUGUGUAGCGGUGAAAUGCGUAGAUAUAUGGAAGAACACCAGUGGCGAAGGCGGCUGUCUGGUCUGUAACUGACGCUGAGGCUC